GGAAAGAGCUUGCUCUUUCCGGAAUUGAGUGGCAAACGGGUGAGUAACACGUAAACAACCUGCCUUCAGGAUGGGGACAACAGACGGAAACGACUGCUAAUACCGAAUAAGUUCCAAGAGCUGCAUGGCCCAUGGAAGAAAAGGUGGCCUCUACCUGUAAGCUAUCGCCUGAAGAGGGGUUUGCGUCUGAUUAGCUGGUUGGAGGGGUAACGGCCCACCAAGGCGACGAUCAGUAGCCGGUCUGAGAGGAUGAACGGCCACACUGGAACUGAGACACGGUCCAGACUCCUACGGGAGGCAGCAGUGGGGAAUCUUCCGCAAUGGGCGAAAGCCUGGCGGAGCAACGCCGCGUGAGUGAUGACGGCCUUCGGGUUGUAAAACUCUGUGAUCCGGGACGAAAAGGCAGAGUGCGAAGAACAAACUGCAUUGACGGUACCGGAAAGGCAAGCCACGGCUAACUACGUGCCAGCAGCCGCGGUAAUACGUAGGUGGCAAGCGUUGUCCGGAAUUAUUGGGCGUAAAGCGCGCGCAGGCGGCUUCCCAAGUCCCUCUUAAAAGUGCGGGGCUUAACCCCGUGAUGGGAAGGAAACUGGGAAGCUGGAGUAUCGGAGAGGAAAGUGGAAUUCCUAGUGUAGCGGUGAAAUGCGUAGAGAUUAGGAAGAACACCGGUGGCGAAGGCGACUUUCUGGACGAAAACUGACGCUGAGGCGCGAAAGCGUGGGGAGCA
rnacentral:rRNA from 1 species